rnacentral:rRNA from 1 species
UACGAAGGGUGCAAGCGUUAAUCGGAAUUACUGGGCGUAAAGGGUGCGUAGGCGGUUGUUUAAGUCUGUUGUGAAAUCCCCCGGGCUCAACCUCGAAACGCCACUCGAUACUGCCAUGACUGGAGUCCGGUAGAGGAGUGCGGAAUUCCUGGUGUAGCGGUGAAAUGCGCAGAUAUCAGGAGGAACACCAACGGCGAAGGCAGCACUCUGGGCCGGUACUGACGCUGAGGAGCGAAAGCGUGGGGGAGCAAACAGG